AUCUUUGUUUCUGUGUAGUUGCAUCCUGUUUCUGUCUGAAAACCCUUGUCUUUCUGAAUCCAUCUUUCAGUCUCUCACGUUCUGUCUCUCCCCUCCUCCUUCACCUUCCCUCCAUCCCUCUCCCUUGCGCACUUGCCGGGUACCAGCUGAGUGCAUCCUUUUCCCAAACCUGCUCUGCUUCCAAGGGGCCCUUUUCUGUCUCCUCCACCUGUCCCCAUGUUUUGGGGACUGCCUGGAAAUCUGGGACACCCUCCUGAGGAGGGAGCUGGUGCCCAACGGCACCUCUUAGGAUGAACCCCGCCAGCUGCGUUCCUGGCCUCUGCAGAAUGGCAUACAGAAGGCAUUUUAAGCAAGCGAGCUGAGCUCGCCGCAGGACUCCGACUACCAGGCACCGGCAAGAUGUGGGAAUCCUGACAGGUUGCCGCUGAAGAUCCUGCAGUUGGUGUGUGCAAGCUGACAGCCAGGCCGCUGCCGGAGGAAGGGGGUCCUCUGUGCUUUGCAUGUCUCUGGGUAUUUGGGAAACUUGGCAGCCAGUUGCUCUAAGUGAACCCUGACUCUGGAGUAGGCACUGGGCACCCUGGCGGAGAGGACAGAGCCGGAGACAAGGACUGGCCUCAGGGAGUUUCCAGUUCAAAUAGGAACAGACCCGAUCACACGCGAUACGCUCACCCUCAGACACAUUGCUGCUGCCUGCAUUUCCUCCGGGCUGCCAUCCCCCUUCCCCUGCCCUGGCCUCUGUCUGCCACGGCUGCCCUUGUCUACCUGCCAAGCUCUAAUUAUCGUUAAACAUCCCCUGUCACUGCUUCCCGGAAAUCUUUAACUUCCACCCAAGAACAG
rnacentral:lncRNA from 1 species